GUUCUAGACGAUCGGCGAGAGCGUUACUGAGCGACGAAGGCGAAGGGUCCGGUUUCGGUGACAGUGGCUACGGCUUCGGCUCCGGCCUGUCAGGUUGGCUGGGCUCGGGCUCCGGCAACGCCUUCGGAUCCGGGAACGAAGUCGCGACGGACGCUUUCGGAGGCGCCAAGCGGACGAGAAGAAGAAGAAGAAAGAAGAGGAGAAAGGAAAAUCCACACCGACACAAGGAGACAAAAAGAAGAAGAAGAAGAAGAAGAAGAAGACAAAGAAAUGCCAAGACAAGAAACCGCCGAAGGGAGAGGAGGAAGAAGAAAAUUGUCUUCAGUCAAUUUUCGGAUGUUGUCCUGAUAGAGUCACGCCUGCAGAGGGACCCUUCCAGAGAGGCUGCCCUAAGGUGAACUCCUGCCUGGACACACUCUACGGAUGUUGCACGGACGGUUUCACUAUCUCCCGCGGCCCGAGUGGCAAGGGAUGCCCAGACAAGGACGGGGAUUCCUCUCCGCUCUGUGCCGACUCCCUCUUCGGAUGCUGUGCCGACGGGGUCACCGAAGCCGAGGGACCCGACGGGGAAGGAUGCGAGGAUCUGAUGGAGUUUAAUUGCGAGAAAACUGA
rnacentral:lncRNA from 1 species